rnacentral:rRNA from 1 species
UACAGAGGGUGCAAGCGUUGUUCGGAAUUAUUGGGCGUAAAGCGCGUGUAGGCGGCUUUGCAAGUCGGGUGUGAAAGCCCUCAGCUCAACUGAGGAAGUGCGCCCGAAACUGCAGAGCUUGGGUGCCGGAGAGGGUGGCGGAAUUCCCCAAGUAGAGGUGAAAUUCGUAGAUAUGGGGAGGAACACCGGUGGCGAAGGCGGCCGACCUGGACGG